rnacentral:rRNA from 1 species
AGUGAACGCUGGCGGUAGGCCUAACACAUGCAAGUCGAACGGCAGCACAGUAAGAGCUUGCUCUUACGGGUGGCGAGUGGCGGACGGGUGAGGAAUACAUCGGAAUCUACUUUUUCGUGGGGGAUAACGUAGGGAAACUUACGCUAAUACCGCAUACGACCUACGGGUGAAAGCAGGGGAUCUUCGGACCUUGCGCGAUCGAAUGAGCCGAUGUCGGAUUAGCUAGUUGGCGGGGUAAAGGCCCACCAAGGCGACGAUCCGUAGCUGGUCUGAGAGGAUGAGCAGCCACACUGGAACUGAGACACGGUCCAGACUCCUACGGGAGGCAGCAGUGGGGAAUAUUGGACAAUGGGCGCAAGCCUGAUCCAGCCAUACCGCGUGGGUGAAGAAGGCCUUCGGGUUGUAAAGCCCUUUUGUUGGGAAAGAAAAGCAGCAGGUUAAUACCCCGCUGUUCUGACGGUACCCAAAGAAUAAGCACCGGCUAACUUCGUG